UACCAGCACCCCGAGUGGUCGGGACGUUUAUUGGGCCUAAAGCAUCCGUAGCCGGUUCUACAAGUCUUCCGUUAAUCCACCUGCUUAACAGAUGGGCUGCGGAAGAUACUAUAGAGCUAGGAGGCGGGAGAGGCAAGCGGUACUCGAUGGGUAGGGGUGAAAAUCCGUUGAUCCAUUGAAGACCACCAGUGGCGAAGGCG
rnacentral:rRNA from 1 species